CUUACUGCAAGUCACUUUCAACUUCGGCUGGGUAGAAUGGCGCCUCCUGAAGGCUGCAAGGGUUCUGGGCGACGACAGAUGCUGGACCCUUGGGCUCCUCUCUGGCGGCUCCCUGAUGCUCAAAAGGUUUCUGGUCCGGAUCUGUAGGACUGAUGAAGACACUUUGAGAUCUGUGUCUGUGUUUGUGAUCUGUGUCUCGACUCAAGAUGUCUCACUGAAAAGGAUGGGGGAGACAUGGCUGUGGAGUAAUAUGUUUCCGUACCCAAUAACAGGUUUCUCCACUGACGAAGCCAAAUCAAACCGAACUUAAAAAGACCGGGUUUAUUGGGCCAAGCACUCCCGGGUGGCCUUUCCGGUCCCCAGAGAUGAGUUUCUCUUCAGCUUCCCAUGACAGCAGGGCGGAGGGUGCACUCACGUCACAGAGAUCAGAAGGCGGGCUUCACCACAGCCAGCAGGAAAGGCCUCAGUUCUCCUGAUGCCUGCCGACAGGGGGCAGGGAAGUUUCUGGCAUGCAGGUGUCUCUCUCGCCGUAUCAUCCGAGCUUCCGAUCAUCCAGAGGUCUCUCCAGGGCCAGUCCUGCAAAGCGUGCCUGGAUUGAAGAGCUCUGCUCUGUCCGCAGUAGCGGAGAACCGUGGGAUGCCACACCGACACAAACGGGGCUCUGCGCCUCCUGGUGGACACGGCUUUAAACUGCAGGCUUUUCCUUGAAGAGGGGCUUGGGAACUGAAUGUCUUGUGUCUCAGACAGU